rnacentral:rRNA from 1 species
CCUACGGGAGGCAGCAGUGGGGAAUAUUGCGCAAUGGGCGAAAGCCUGAUGCAGCGACGCCGCGUGAGGGUUGAAGGUCUUCGGAUCGUAAACCUCUGUCAGCAGGGAAGAACGGUCACUGUGCUAAUCAGCAGUGAAUUGACGGUACCUGCAAAGGAAGCACCGGCUAACUCCGUGCCAGCAGCCGCGGUAAUACGGAGGGUGCGAGCGUUAAUCGGAAUUACUGGGCGUAAAGCGCUCGUAGGCGGUAUGUCAAGUCAAGGGUGAAAUCCCCGCGCUCAACGUGGGAACUGCCUUUGAAACUGGCAGACUGGAGUGUGUGAGAGGAUAGUGGAAUUCCAGGUGUAGGAGUGAAAUGCGUAGAUAUCUGGAGGAACAUCAGUGGCGAAGGCGACUAACUGUCACAUAACUGACGCUGAGGAGCGAAAGCGUGGGUAGCAAACAGGAUUAGAUACCCUUGUAGUC